rnacentral:lncRNA from 1 species
ACUCACGAAUCUACAUGUCUUUUGAUUGGUGCUGACAAAUAUGUCGAAUUAGGAAGCUGGUAAGAUUCAGGGUAUAUCGUAUGGGAAUAUGUUCAUACCUCGAUCGGACAAAUCUUACUCGUCGGCGAUCGCCAAGGAGCAGCCGUCUUCUUGUCCGGCGUCGGCUGGUCUGGCAACGUCCGCGCCGCAUUCCUUCGCUCCGACGAUGCUGUCUACGGUGACCUCGACGCUGUCUUUCCUCGUCCUCUCCUUGCUCCUCUCCGCGCCCGUCAUCGCCGCCAUCAGGGCCGUCUGAGGGCUCGCCAAGGAGCAAUAACCGGCGAAUCACCUCGCUCUAAAGAUUGGUAAAAGCAUCAUCUUUAAGGUUAUUGCGGUCUCUGAUCUCAAGAUCAGGUUUUCUUGUUAUUCUUUGAUUAUAUUGCUUCUCUUCCUAAUUCUUAUUUGCUUUCUCUUUCUUUUUUGGAAGAGUUCCGAAUAAGUAAUCUGAAUUGAGUUCGCCUAGUAUUGCAAUAUAGAGCUGUCUAAUUGGGAUGUGAAAUCUUCUGCUGCAAUGAUUGCAUUGUCUCCUGAAAAAUGAUACUUGUUCCAUUUUGGAUUGUUGUUUUCUAUUUCAGCAGAAAGAAGUGCAGAUUAUAAUGUUAGAAUUUCUUCUCUCCAGAUUAUAAUGUUGAUUAGAAAGAAGAGUUUAUGUAAUUUUGUGAUGUAUCUUCCACAACCUAGAUUGAAUGCCUAGAUCUGCAUUGCUAUGGUUCUUUUCUUCUUAUGCUGUGUGUUUCAUUGAUACAUCUGAAACAUGGCUCUGUAAUGGAUGAUGAACAAAUAAGUCGUUAUACUUGUAAUCUUUGUCAAAAUCAUCAUUGGAUUAUCUAGUUGAUGUAGUACAUCCAAGAAAUUUUAGAGGUCACAUUUCUUUUCCCAUUUGGGCAGUUCAUGAGACUGAGGAUUGUGUUGGUCUCAUACCCCCUGGGAAGUAUGAAUGGCACACUGCACGGCCUGCUACAAUGUGGAGCCCUGUUGAAUGAACCCACAAUUUUGUUUUAGAAAGAAUGGAAUGGAUAUAAUUGAUGAUUUCAAAGUACUUAAUAGCAUUAUUAUUUGACACAAGUUUAUCUUUGAUUCUUUCGCCCUCAUAGUUUUUAAAACUGUUCAUGUUACAUAUACUACAGAUGAUCAAAUCAUUAGUGGUUUGUUUACCAAACAUCCGAUAGAAAAUGAGCUGUGAGUUCAUCCUAUUUUUGUGGGAAAAAUUGGAGUCAAGAUGAUAUUUUGCAUAUGCAGUAAAAUCUGAUAUUUUUAUUAUUCAUUGGUUUUCUGCAAGAAUAAAAUGUUGUUUAUCCCUCCUAGAUUGUAACUUGAUGAUGCUUUGGGUGCUAAUUCCCUCUACUACAAACAUAAUUAUAUGCUCUGUAGAAGCUCUAUAUUCACAUGCAAUUUUUGUACUUUGUUUAUUGU